rnacentral:rRNA from 1 species
GAUGAACGCUGGCGGCGUGCUUAACACAUGCAAGUCGAACGGAGAGGCUCCUGCUUGCAGGGGUACUCGAGUGGCGAACGGGUGAGUAACACGUGGGUGAUCUGCCCUGCACUUCGGGAUAAGCCUGGGAAACUGGGUCUAAUACCGGAUAGGACCACAUUUUGGAUGGUGUGGUGGAAAGUUUUUCGGUGUGGGAUGAGCUCGCGGCCUAUCAGCUUGUUGGUGGGGUAAUGGCCUACCAAGGCGUCGACGGGUAGCCGGCCUGAGAGGGUGUACGGCCACAUUGGGACUGAGAUACGGCCCAGACUCCUACGGGAGGCAGCAGUGGGGAAUAUUGCACAAUGGGCGCAAGCCUGAUGCAGCGACGCCGCGUGGGGGAUGACGGCCUUCGGGUUGUAAACUCCUUUCGCUAGGGACGAAGCGUUUUUGUGACGGUACCUGGAGAAGAAGCACCGGCUAACUACGUG